UACAGGGGGUGCAACCGUUGCUCGGAAUCAUUGGGCGUAAAGCGCACGUAGGCGGUUCGUUAUGUCGGGUGUGAAAGCCCUUGGCUUAACCGAGGAAGUGCAUCCGAAACUGGCGAGCUAGAGUACUAAAGAGGAUCGCGGAAUUCCCGGUGUAGAGGUGAAAUUCGUAGAUAUCGGGAGGAACACCGGUGGCGAAGGCGGCGAUCUGGGUAGAUACUGACGCUGAGGUGCGAAAGCGUGGGGAGCAAACAGG
rnacentral:rRNA from 1 species